GUGAAAACCUCAGUUAACAUUCAGCACUCACACUAGAUGAUAUCUAGUGUAGUAAGUCUUUAGAUCCAGCGACAACAUUAUUGAAAAUGGAAAAGCCUCCUGUUCCCGCACCUAGAAAAAGGAGAGAAAACUUGGUAAAGCAAAAAGACAUAGGUUCAGAGGAAUUCUCAAAUGAUAUGCCCAUGACCCAGAAUAAGAAGCCACCACCAGUUCCACCUAAAGUCCUCAAAAUUGUCCGAGCAGGUGGGCAAGCUCUACCUGGCAUGGUGCGUUCCUACUCUCAACCUGAAUAUGUUGG